CGCACAUUGCGCCCGUCGGUAUUCCGGCGGGCAUGCCUGUCCGAGCGUUACACAUCCCCACCUCGAGUAGGCUUGCCUCUCGGUCUUGAGUUGCCUCUGGGGGAAAACAGAGGGGCUCCAAAUAUAGUGUCGCGGUUGGUAAUCAUUGCCCCGGAGUGUUGCAAAAUCCUCGCUCGAGAGGCCUUGAUGUCCAACUAGUCGCCCCUACGCAGAGGCCGCAAGGCCGCCAAUUUAGUACGCUGUUUAACCUCGGAUCAGGUAGGAACACCCGCUGAACUUAA
rnacentral:misc_RNA from 1 species